GAUGAACGCUGGCGGCGUGCCUAAUACAUGCAAGUCGAGCGAACAGACGAGGAGCUUGCUCCUCUGACGUUAGCGGCGGACGGGUGAGUAACACGUGGAUAACCUACCUAUAAGACUGGGAUAACUUCGGGAAACCGGAGCUAAUACCGGAUAAUAUAUUGAACUGCAUGGUUCAAUAGUGAAAGACGGUUUUGCUGUCACUUAUAGAUGGAUCCGCGCCGCAUUAGCUAGUUGGUAAGGUAACGGCUUACCAAGGCAACGAUGCGUAGCCGACCUGAGGGGGUGAUCGGCCACACUGGAACUGAGACACGGUCCAGACUCCUACGGGAGGCAGCAGUAGGGAAUCUUCCGCAAUGGGCGAAAGCCUGACGGAGCAACGCCGCGUGAGUGAUGAAGGUCUUCGGGUCGUAAAACUCUGUUAUUAGGGAAGAACAAAUGUGUAAGUAACUAUGCACGUCUUGACGGUACCUAAUCAGAAAGCCACGGCUAACUACGUG
rnacentral:rRNA from 1 species